CGCCUACAGUUCUCAUACCUCAACUCGAACUUCUCGAAGUCUAGCUACAGAAUUUAACGCUCCUAGUCAAUAUAAAAUAUUAACCAGGCUCAUAUUGAAAUGACUAUCCCAAUAAAGUUACUUUUGGAGUCAAUAGGUGCGUUUUCCGGAAGAGGUUUGACUGUACAACUCAACUAUUGAAUGGUGCCAGUUUGAUUCCUUAUCAGAGGGCCAUUAUCGCUCUCGAGAACCACAAACUUUUGACUACGUAAGCAAGAAACCGGAAUGAAACGCAGUGGCCAGAUGGAACACGUAGGACCAACUUGGCAAAGACAAUCCGAACGGAAAGUAUCUCAAAUCAAAACAGAUAAGAACGAAAAACCAAACAUCCAACAGCUGUGCAUUGAAAACAACGGCCAGCAGGCCAUUCGAUUAAGUUGCUCGCUUGGUGAAAGUCUUUCGACCCAUUUAGUCGCUGUUUCGCUAUGACUAUAAAGAUAUUACAUGCAUAACA